AUUUUCGGCAAUGGGGGAAACCCUGACCGAGCAACGCCGCGUGAGUGAUGAAGGCCUUCGGGUUGUAAACUUCUUUUACCAGGGACGAAGGACGUGACGGUACCUGGAGAAAAAGCAACGGCUAACUACGUGCCAGCAGCCGCGGUAAUACGUAGGUUGCGAGCGUUGUCCGGAUUUACUGGGUGUAAAGGGCGUGUAGGCGGAGAAGCAAGUUGGGAGUGAAAUCUAUGGGCUCAACCCAUAAACUGCUCUCAAAACUGUUUCCCUUGAGUAUCGGAGAGGCAAGCGGAAUUCCUAGUGUAGCGGUGAAAUGCGUAGAUAUUAGGAGGAACACCAGUGGCGAAGGCGGCUUGCUGGACGACAACUGACGCUGAGGCGCGAAAGCGUGGGGAGCAAA
rnacentral:rRNA from 1 species